UAUGUUGUCGUCAUACGUAAAGUCUUGCUUAAGAAUACUUUAGGCAUCUGGCUGUGGAAGGUAGAAUAGAAAUUAUAAUAAUAAAAUCCUAAUUUUAGUAGAUUAUUAACAAUGCUAAACAAGCUUUAAUCAAAUUCAAAUAUACCUCAAAGAAAUUUCAAAGAAACAAUAAGAAAUCUUAAAAAAAAUAUUAGAAUAAUUACAAAUAUAUCUCAAAUACAUCUCAAUUCAAUCUUAAUUUAAUCCUAGUUAAAAUCCUAUUGGACUUCAUUCAAAAUUUAGGCCAAAACUAACUAAAUUUCAAAUCCUAAUAAAUUCUAAUAAAAUCCUAAAUCCUAAAUCUAAUCUUAAACAAAUCCUAAACCAAACUCCAAUUAAAUCCUAAACCAAAUCUUAUUCAAACCUUAAACCCUAAAUCAAAACCUAAACCUAAACCAAAUCCCAACCAAAACCUAAAUCCUAAAUCUUAAAUCAAAUCCUAAACUAAUCCUAAAUCAAAUCCUAACCAAACCCUAAACCAAAUCCUAAAUUCUAAAUCAAAUCCUAACCAACUCAAAUCCUAAAUCAAAUCCUAAACCUAAACCAGAUCCUACUCAAACUCUAAACUCUAACCCAAUCCCAACCAAAUCCUAAACCAAAUCCUAAAUCCUAAAUUAAACUCUAAAUAAACCCUAAACCAAAUCCUAACCAAAUCCUAAAUCAAACCUUAAAUCCUAAAUCAAACCCUAAAUCUUAAAUCAAAUCCUAAAUCCUAAAUCAAAUCCUAACCAAAUUCUAAACUUAAUCCUAAACCCUAAAUCAAACCCUAAUCAAAGCGUAACCCUAAAUCAAAUCCUAAUCAAAUCCUAAACCAAAUCUUAAACUCUAAAUCAAAUCCUAAAUAUUAAAUCAAAUCCUAAAUUCUAAAUCAAAUCCUAAUCAAAUCCUAAACUUAACCCUAAAUCCUAAAUCAAACCCUAAUCAAAUUCUAAACCAAAUCCU
rnacentral:lncRNA from 1 species